rnacentral:rRNA from 1 species
CGCGGCCUAUCAGCUUGUUGGUGAGGUAAGGGCUCACCAGGGCGAUGACGGGUAGCUGACGUGAGAGCGUGGUCAGCCACACUGGGACUGAGACACGGCCCAGACUCCUACGGGAGGCAGCAGUGGGGAAUCUUGCACAAUGGGGGCAACCCUGAUGCAGCGACGCCGCGUGUGGGAGGAAGGCCUUCGGGUUGUAAACCACUGUCGGGCGGGACGAGCCGGGGGUCGUCGAGCAGGCGACUCCUCCGACGGUACCGCCCAUAGGAAGCUCCGGCUAACUCCGUGCCAGCAGCCGCGGUAAAACGGAGGGAGCAAGCGUUGUCCGGAAUUACUGGGCGUACAGAGCGCGUAGGCGGCCAGGUAAGUCGUAUGUGAAAGGCCCGGGCUCAACCCGGGCAUGCCAUGCGAUACUGCCUGGCUAGAGGCCGGCAGGGGCCAGUGGAAUUCCCGGUGUAGCGGUGGAAUGCGUAGAUAUCGGGAGGAACACCAGCGGCGAAGGCGACUGGCUGGGCCGGACCUGACGCUGCAGCGCGAAAGCGUGGGGAUCAAACAGGAUUAGAUACCCUGGUAGUCCACGCCGUAAACGAUGGGCACUAGAUGUUGGGAGGUCUUGGGCCUCUCAGUGUCGCAGCUAACGCAUUAAGUGCCCCGCCUGGGGAGUACGG